UACAGGGGGGGCAAGCGUUGUUCGGAAUUACUGGGCGUAAAGGGCUCGUAGGUGGCCAACUAAGUCAGACGUGAAAUCCCUCAGCUUAACUGGGGAACUGCGUCUGAUACUGGAUGGCUUGAGUUUGGGAGAGGGAUGCGGAAUUCCAGGUGUAGCGGUGAAAUGCGUAGAUAUCUGGAGGAACACCGGUGGCGAAGGCGGCAUCCUGGACCGGUAUUGACGCUGAGGAGCGAAAGCAUGGGGAGCGAACAGG
rnacentral:rRNA from 1 species